AACGAACGCUGGCGGCAUGCCUAACACAUGCAAGUCGAACGAGACCUUCGGGUCUAGUGGCGCACGGGUGCGUAACGCGUGGGAACCUGCCCUUAUGUUCGGACUAACUCCCCGAGAUGGGUGCUAAUACCGGAUAAUGUCUUCGGACCAAAGAUUCAUCGCCUUGGGGUGGGCCCGCGUUGGAUUAGCUAGUUGGUAGGGUAAACGCCUACCAAGGCGACGAUCCAUAGCUGGUCUGAGAGGAUGAUCAGCCACACUGGGACUGAGACACGGCCCAGACUCCUACGGGAGGCAGCAGUGGGGAAUAUUGGACAAUGGGCGAAAGCCUGAUCCAGCAAUGCCGCGUGAGUGAUGAAGGCCUUAGGGUUGUAAAGCUCUUUUACCCGGGAUGUUAAUGACAGUACCGGGAGAAUAAGCUCCGGCUAACUCCGUG
rnacentral:rRNA from 1 species